GGAGAAGAUGGCGUGAGGGUGUGCGCUGAUAGGAAAAAUUUCCCCAGACGAAAGAUUCUCAAGCAGCAGUGCAGAAAAUAUGAAACGUUUCUCGCCUUCUGUGCCUCAGGAAGAUAGCAAGACAUUUGAUACUGUGAAUCAAAAUGGUUAUAACUAUAACCAUAAUUUUUAAAGGGGUGCACCGAUAAGCCAGCGGAAGGCCUCGCUCAGAUGACCAAAAGUUCCAACGGCUGGUCAUCAUAUGACCAAGACCCACGCCAGGAAACGCUUUGUCCUGUUUCCUGACGACCCUUACCUAACCUAACCUACUGUGAGAAAAGACCGGACAACGUUUUUUUCUAAUUUGGUGAACAUAUUUAUUUUUUUCCCCGGUACUGUUAACUUGAGGUACUGUUUUAUCUUGCCUUAUUUUUUCCUUGUGGCCUUAUUAAUAUUCAGUUUUCCUCUUACAGCCUAAUGUAAUUUUCCUUUACAGCUUAAUCAGUAUUUUCCUUUUUCAGCCUAAAAAAAAAAUUCCUUUUCAGCGUAAUAAAAUUCUUUUUCAGCCUAAUAAAUAAUUUCCUUUUCAGCCUAAUAAAUAAUUUCCUUUUCAGUGUAAUAAAAAAUUCCUUUCAAGGCUAAUGAAAUUUUCCUUUUCAGCCUAAUGAAAUUUCUUUUUCAGCCUAAUGAAAUUUCCUUUUCAGCCUAAUGAAAUUUUCCUUUUCAGCCUAAUGAAUUUUUUCUUUCUAAUUAAUAUAUUCCCUUCAAUUAAAAACAUUUUAAUUUCCCUGCAGAAUAAUUUUACUUUGCAGGAUAAAAAUUAAAUUUAAAAUAUUGCUUUAUAAUUUAUAACUUUCAUUUUACAUAACCAUUUUUAAAUUUUUAUUACCUUGUUGCAUACCAUAAUUAAUCUCUUAUUUAUGUACAGCCUCCAAUAUUGAUAGUAAGAUUGUGUGUCUUAUGGCUUACAGCUUAAUGACUGUUUUUCCUUGCAGCCUGUAUGCACAAAUUUUAUUGAAAUUCUUAUAUUCAAGUAAGUUUCACUCAUAAUUUUUCACAAUGGCUCAUUUUAGUCUACUUUUUACAGUACUACUGAAUCUGAUAGUUAUAAAAUGUUCUCAGUUGAAAUUCAUAGACAAAAAAAGUUGGGGAAAUUUUAUCAUAUGAUGUAAUAUUACAAAAAUGUAAUUUGUUUAACAUUAAAUGCAUGUAUUUUAAGCUUAUUAAUUUAGUUAAGGAAGCAGCAUAUGUUACUAUAAGUUACACCACAUAAUUGGUAUGAAGUUCAACAUUCUCAUGCUUACAGUUACACAGUUACUCCAAACCAAGCUUCAUACUGACCAUGACUAUGUCAUUGUGCAAAAAUAUUUAUGGAUUUUUUAGAGGGCAAAGAGGAAAGAACUUAUGGACAUAGGUAUGUGAUCAGAAGAGUUUUAAAUGUAAGUAUUGCUGAGGAUUUAAUUGCAUUUUGUAAUAUAAAAUUUAAGGGAGAGGUAGAAUAUGGGAGCAUUAAUUAAAGACAACUUUUUGAAGCCUGUUUUGUGAUGUAUCUUAAUCACAUUCUUUGAGAAAGCAUUUAUUGUUGAUACAUCUUAAUGAGAUUCUUUGAGAAAGCAAUUAUUGUAGAUAAUUGUUCAUAAAAUGCAAUUAGAGUUGACGAACUGGCAUACUAUAAAGACUGGCUAUAUAAUGGGGAGUAAUUUAUUAGGAAUUCAGUUUUACAAUAUAUGUAGUCGAGCUUCAAAAGGAAUUAUAAAGUGGAGGGGAAAGAUGCUAUAUAUACAAGGUUGAAUAAGAAAAUAGAGGACUAGGUUAAGUUUAUCAAAGUUAAAAUAAUGAAUAAAUAAAUUGGAAGGGUUAGGUAUUUUGGAAAAGUAUAGACAGUUUAGGAUGACGAUUUUAGGUGUCAAGAAAAUGUAUUGAUGUAGACGAUAAAUAGUAAUUAUAGGAGAUAGAGGCUGAAGAGAAAAAAUGCAGCUAAUAUUUUUUUCAAGGGAAAAGGGACGAGUUUAAUAUGAAGGUGCCCAGGAAAUAUAAUACGUUCUUUGAAGUUGAAGGCAUUAGCCCUUGAAAAUGAGAAAGUUUUGAAAGUUUGACAAGAAAUUACUAUAGUGCAGUGAAGGGGUUGGAUGCAUAUAUUACUUGGGUGAAUGGGUGGUUCAUCCGGUGAGGUAGUUGGUGAACUUUACCAAGAAAAAUGACUGUAAAUUUUGUUGAGCUAGUUUGACUUGGUUCAUAUGUGCUGAGCCGAGGACAUAGGCUGUAGUUUUUGUGGAGGGAAUUAAUUGAAGUCCAAAUAAUAGUGAAAGUGAGACUUGGAGAGGGACGCAUGUCACCACGCUAGUUCGUUGGGAAGGGGAGUGGGAUUAAGAGAUUUGGAUACGAUACAAAGUGGGAGUUACCACAGUUGCUCUGUUGACAUUAUUUUUGGGGAUUUUGAAGACAAGUUUCAAAGGUUGUGGGACGAAUUUGGGAGUAUUGGUAAAAAAGAAAUUCAAAUUGAACUCAUAUAAGAGCAAGAUAAUGAAGGUGACAAAAAAUCAUGGCAAUGAUUGGUUUAAUAUUAAAUUGGAGGGGCGGGAAGUAUGGAGGAAAAUGUACGGAGAUAUUUGGAAGUGGACACGUCAGCAGAUGAGUCUAAGACGAGGUGAACCAUGGAAUAUAUAGGGGGGGGGGGGUGAAAUGAGUGGUGUUAGGGUGUCUGGAAUAGUUUAUCUUCGUAGAUCAAAAGGAAUAUACAAUAGAAUAGUGUUGCCCACAAAUUGAUAUAGGUGUGGUUUUGAACAUUACAUUGAUCAGUGUUUCAAGCCUCACUGGCAUCAAAUUUCUGCUGUUAACUUAUGGCUGUAGAUGCUUUCAUCAUGGGAAUCUAGAUUGCCUGUGGUUAGAUUCAGCCAGGAAAAAUAACUGCUUAACAUAAGUGUUGAUUUCCAGAAGUUGGACUGUACAUAGUUCUAUUGAGCAAAGUAAAAUUGCUGUUUUUCAUUGAGGGAGUUAAUGGACUUUGUCCUUAGUUCUACUUAAUCAAAAAACAAGUCUGAAUUUUUGUUGGGGAAAUUGGACUCUCCAUGUUUGUAUUCAGUCAGAAUGACUUUCUUUGUCAAGGGUGUUGGACUGUCUACACUUCUGUUUCUCAGUGAUGCUCCAGGAAAAUGAUUUUCGACAAGGAAAUUAAACUGUCUUUAUUUCCAUUCAAGGACAAUGGCUAAAGGUUUAAACCAUACCAAUCGUGUCAUUACGAUUUCGUGAGUCAUGCUAAAGGUUUUGUCAAAGAAAUUGGACUGACCACAGUUCUACUGAAGUGUCUCUGCCCACACUUGUAUUUAGUUAACAAAAAUGUAAACGACAGAGAUAGUUUGCUGCUUGUUUCAAUCAAGGAAAAUGGCUGUGGUUUCUUUUGAUGAGUUUAUAUACUUGUCCACAUUUCAGUUCAAGGUUUAGUUUCUUCAGUGAGGAAAUUUGACUCCAUCCACAUUGUAGUCCGUCAUGGACAGUGGCUGUAGUUUCAUCACUACGGAGUUUAUAUAUUCUAGUCUUGCUCAGUCAAGAAAAAUAGGAAUUGGACUGUCCACAGUUCUACUGAGUCGAGGAAAAUCAGCUUAACAGUAGAUUCUUUCACAGACAGUUUGUUUGUAGUUUUACUCUAAGAAAAGACUCUUUCAUCAAAAAGUUUUAUGGAGUUCAUCCAGUUCAGAUUUUUUCACUCCAGGAAAGAAUCUGUAGUUUCAUUUAUCAAAGAAAUUUAUAAAAGUACUGUCCAAGAAAAUGAUUAAGUUUCAGAGAAAAUGAGCUCUGUCCACAGUACUACUCGGUUGCAAGUGUUUGUAUUUUAGACUUAAACCGAGGGAGUUGGACUGUCAUUAAUAUUCAGUCAAGGAAUUGACUGCCUUUUCAUCAAGGAAUUAAUGGACUUAGUCCAGCUAUAAAAAUUCAUAUAUUUGCUUGGAUUCAAUAAGCUAAGCUUAUUUGUAUUUAGUGGAGAGUAAUAAUUUCAGGCAAUGGACUCUGGGUCACAUGGCCUUAUAGUCAACAAUCUUAGUGGAUUUUUUUCCACUUACUCUCCAUACUCUUGCUACUCCUUGCGGGUAGUCAGCAACAACUUGCUUUUGGGUGGUUUUUAGUGAGGGUCAAACUAUCACUAAAAAUACCAAAUUAUCAAGAGCUUGCUGUUGAACAA